ACCUUAGCACGGUCAGGAUACAGUGCUAAGGUAGCAUAAUAAUUUGCCCCUUAAUUAGGGGCUAGAAUGAAUGGACAAACGAGAGCCAAACUGUCUCUCUAUAAUACACAUAAAUUAACCUUCAAGUGAAGAGGCUUGACAAGAAAAAAAGACAAGAAGACCCUAUUGAGCUUAAUUUUACUCUCUUUUCAUAAAUUUACCCCUAUAAAAUCCCCCACAAGAGAAAAAAAUUUGGUUGGGGCGACCGAGGAACACUAAAAACCUUCCUUCGCAAACAAGGCCCUACGCCCAAAAGAUCCACCACCCGUGAUUAGAAAAACUAGCUACCAUAGGGAUAACAGGCUAAUCCUUCUCGAGAGCCCGAAUUGACAGAAGGGAUUGGCACCUCGAUGUUG
rnacentral:rRNA from 1 species